GUGAAUACAUAGCGUAAUGAAGCGAACCGGGGGAACUGAAACAUCUAAGUACCCCGAGGAAAAGAAAUCAACCGAGAUUCCCCCAGUAGCGGCGAGCGAACGGGGAGGAGCCCAGAGCCUGAAUCAGCAUGUGUGUUAGUGGAAGCGUCUGGAAAGGCGCGCGAUACAGGGUGACAGCCCCGUACACAAAAGCGCAUGUGUUGUGAGCUCGAUGAGUAGGGCGGGACACGUGGUAUCCUGUCUGAAUAUGGGGGGACCAUCCUCCAAGGCUAAAUACUCCUGACUGACCGAUAGUGAACCAGUACCGUGAGGGAAAGGCGAAAAGAACCCCGGCGAGGGGAGUGAAAAAGAACCUGAAACCGUGUACGUACAAGCAGUGGGAGCACCCUUUGGGGUGUGACUGCGUACCUUUUGUAUAAUGGGUCAGCGACUUAUAUUCUGUAGCAAGGUUAACCGAAUAGGGGAGCCGGAGGGAAACCGAGUCUUAAUUGGGCGUUAAGUUGCAGGGUAUAGACCCGAAACCCGGUGAUCUAGCCAUGGGCAGGUUGAAGGUUGGGUAACACUAACUGGAGGACCGAACCGACUAAUGUUGAAAAAUUAGCGGAUGACCUGUGGCUGGGGGUGAAAGGCCAAUCAAACCGGGAGAUAGCUGGUUCUCCCCGAAAGCUAUUUAGGUAGCGCCUCGUGAACUCAUCUCCGGGGGUAGAGCACUGUUUCGGCUAGGGGGCCAUCCCGGCUUACCAACCCGAUGCAAACUGCGAAUACCGGAGAAUGUUAUCACGGGAGACACACGGCGGGUGCUAACGUCCGUCGUGAAGAGGGAAACAACCCAGACCGCCAGCUAAGGUCCCAAAGUCAUAGUUAAGUGGGAAACGAUGUGGGAAGGCCCAGACAGCCAGGAUGUUGGCUUAGAAGCAGCCAUCAUUUAAAGAAAGCGUAAUAGCUCACUGGUCGAGUCGGCCUGCGCGGAAGAUGUAACGGGGCUAAACUAUGCACCGAAGCUGCGGCAGCGACACUAUGUGU
rnacentral:rRNA from 2 species